UCAUUUCCCAGAUCUACAUGCUCAAUUCUCUCGACUUCUCCUUGCUGUGAUUUUUUUAGUCAAAUUUUAAAUGAUUUUAACUGUUAUAUAACUUCUUUUACGGUAUUGACCAGGUUGGUAAAACUGGUGAUGGGUUUUUAGGCUUUUCUUUUUGUUAAUAAUUUGUUAAUUGGUGGAAUAUUAUCCAAUAGUUUUUUGAUUGUCGCUUUUUGGAUAAAAAUUAUACAGGAAAGAGCGCCCUACCAGGCCAAGGCAGAGAAGAGAAAGGUUGAAUGGAACAACAUGGAAGUUUAUAACAAGAAACAAGUAAUUGUGUGAUAGAGUAAAAGCUUGGUCCUUUAAUGUAUCUGAUAGCUGCAAAGGUUUUUGCGUUUGUAGUAGUCAUCUUCGCUUUUUCAUGGAAAGUGAUAGUUCGUGCUCUUGAAGAAAAUGCUAGAGCUUCCUACAAUUUGGACACUCCUUGAACUAUAGAGCCUUCUGAGAAAGAACCGAUUCAGGUAAAGUUGAAGUUGAAGCCUUUCCCAUCAUAUCUGCUUUCCGUAUUCUACAGUCUAUAUCAUUCCAGGGUUAUACACAGAAUUACAGAUUGAACUAAAAUAAGUUCAUGAACACACCAAGUUGAACAAGUUAGAGAUAAUUAAUCUGUGCCAUUCUGUACAUACUAGAACUGCCUAUUUUUGCUUAAGAUACUGAGACUAAGAGAAGGAAAUAAGGGAAUGAGCAUAGUUUGAUUCUGCACCUUUUUUUUUUUUUUUUUUUAAAUUUU